AUCACAUGGGGGUCUUGUUAAAAUGCUAAUUCUGAUUUGGUGAGGCUUAAGGCUGGAGAUUCUGCAUUUCUAUCAAGCUCCCAGAUGGUGC
rnacentral:pre_miRNA from 1 species